UGCCCGUUGCCCGGGGACAACCGGUGGAAACGCCGACUAAUCCCCGAUGGGAUACGAUGCUUCAUGGCAUUGUAUUGAAAGUUACGGCGGCGACGGAUUGGCUCGCGUCCGAUUAGCUGGUUGGCGGGGUAACGGCCCACCAAGGCUACGAUCGGUAGGGGUUCUGAGAGGAAGGCCCCCCACAAUGGGACUGAGACACGGCCCAUACUCCUACGGGAGGCAGCAGUGAGGAAUAUUGGUCAAUGGGCGGAAGCCUGAACCAGCCAUGCCGCGUGCGGGAAGGAGGCCCUAUGGGCUGUGAACCGCUUUUGCCUGGGGGCAAUAAGGGCGUCGCGCACGUCCGAUGAGAGUACCAGGCGAAUAAGCAUCGGCUAACUCCGUGCCAGCAGCCGCGGUAAUACGGGGGAUGCGAGCGUUAUCCGGAUUCAUUGGGUUUAAAGGGUGCGUAGGCUGUGCGUCAAGUCGGGGGUGAAAUUCCGGUGCUCAACACCGGGGCUGCCCUUGAUACUGUCGCGCUGGAGUGCGGAUGCCGCCGGAGGAAUGAGUGGUGUAGCGGUGAAAUGCUUAGAUAUCACUCAGAACACCGAUUGCGAAGGCAUCUGGCGAAUCCGUAACUGACGCUGAGGCACGAAAGCGUGGGGAUAGAACAGGAUUAGAUACCCUGGUAUUCCACGCCGUAAACGAUGAUGGCUAACCGCCGGCGGCACACUGUCGGUGGCCAAG
rnacentral:rRNA from 1 species